rnacentral:rRNA from 1 species
UGAGGAAUAUUGGACAAUGGGCGCAAGCCUGAUCCAGCCAUGCCGCGUGCAGGAUGACGGUCCUAUGGAUUGUAAACUGCUUUUAUACAGGAAGAAACACUACUUCGUGAAGUAGCUUGACGGUACUGUAAGAAUAAGGAUCGGCUAACUCCGUGCCAGCAGCCGCGGUAAUACGGAGGAUCCAAGCGUUAUCCGGAAUCAUUGGGUUUAAAGGGUCCGUAGGCGGUCAGAUAAGUCAGUGGUGAAAGCCCAUCGCUCAACGGUGGAACGGCCAUUGAUACUGUCUGACUUGAAUUAUUAGGAAGUAACUAGAAUAUGUAGUGUAGCGGUGAAAUGCUUAGAGAUUACAUGGAAUACCAAUUGCGAAGGCAGGUUACUACUAAUGGAUUGACGCUGAUGGACGAAAGCGUGGGUAGCGAACAGGAUUAGAUACCCUGGUAGUCCACGCCGUAAACGAUGGAUACUAGCUG